AAACUCUCUUUCUGAUAAAACCCUUUUUUCUCGAAAAUCAUGCAUCAAAAUCCAAAUCUGUCAGAGCCAUUGGGUCCAGAACAGUCGAACCGUUGAAAACGAACUAUUGGAUCACUAUAAUCGGAGUCCAAUACGCACCAAAAGCCAUCCCCACUCAUUGGCAUCUUCGAAAAAUCCGAGUUACUAUUCACUUGAAGUGAUUAGUAAAGGUCGCGCAACUUCUCCAUCCUAAUUCGUUUUCUCCUGAAACUUGAUGAGUGCUUAAGUAAUUAAAAAACAUACAAAAAUAUCGUCAAACAAAAAGUUUAGCUACACAGUCAAAUUCUCAAUCCUUACAAUUUUUUCCUCAUUUUCUUCCUUUUUAAAUCCUAACCCAAUCCACCAUUAUUACAACAUCUUCUCUCACUCAUUUUCUUCUAAAUCUUUUCUUUUAAGCAAAAUAAAAAAAAAUCAUAGAGAAAAUUGAGGGAAGUAACACGCGUUCGACAUGGACGAAGCAACAUACAUUGUGGAUAUAUGAAUGGGGACGGAGAAAUUCUAGUUAUGAGUUUGAAACUAGCACGAAGGAGAGAGAGGAAGAGAAAGAGGAAGAGGAAGAGGAAGAGGAAGAAAAAGAGUUCUAUUGCUAGGAUUUGAUUGAGAGAAGAAUGUAUAACAUAAGAGGGGUAAAAUAUCAAUUUACCUCAUUGACUAACAAAAUUAUAAAGUUAAGUAUGUUACCUAUGCUUAACUAAAAUUUUCUAACGAAUACUAACGGCAAGAACAUAUUUGAAAACAUAAGGAUUUUUGUAGGAACAAUAUUUGAAAGUUGAAUUUUAUAGCUAUAUAUUUAUAAUUCACUAUAUUUGCAGGUAUAUGUAUGCAAUUAAUUCUAUUUUUAAUGUUGUUUUACAUACUGAUAAAAAUCUAUCAAUUGGUAUUAGAGCCUAGAACAAUAAAUUUAAUAUUGCAUGCAUUCUCUGAUUAGAUUGACUUAUGAUGAAUUUGGAAUUA
rnacentral:lncRNA from 1 species